rnacentral:snoRNA from 1 species
CCAAUGUGGAUACACUGGGGGGUCACUCUUCCCAGGCUCAGUCCAGGUGGCCUAAGGGGAGCACAGGCCUCUGCUCCAUGAUGUACAGUCCCUUUCCACGACGUUGGAGAUGAAGCUGGGCCUCGAGCCUGCACCUGUGUAGUCCUACAGCUUCUCAGAGUCCUAUAGACAAUGACUGAGGAGACAAACCAUGCAGGAAACAUAG